UCCCAGACUCCUACGGGAGGCAGCAGUGGGGAAUAUUGCACAAUGGGGGAAACCCUGAUGCAGCAACGCCGCGUGAGUGAAGAAGUCAUUCGUGAUGUAAAGCUCUAUCAGCAGGGAAGAAAAUGACGGUACCUGACUAAGAAGCCCCGGCUAACUACGUGCCAGCAGCCGCGGUAAUACGUAGGGGGCAAGCGUUAUCCGGAUUUACUGGGUGUAAAGGGAGCGUAGACGGCGAUGCAAGCCAGAUGUGAAAGCCCGCGGCUCAACUGCGGUAGUGCAUUUGGAACUGUAUGGCUGGAGUGCAGGAGAGGCAGGCGGAAUUCCUAGUGUAGCGGUGAAAUGCGUAGAUAUUAGGAGGAACACCAGUGGCGAAGGCGGCCUGCUGGACUGUAACUGACGUUGAGGCUCGAAAGCGUGGGGAGCAAACAGGAUUAGAUACCCGGGUA
rnacentral:rRNA from 1 species